CCCUUAGAUGUUCUGGGCCGCACACGCGCUACACUGAAGGAGGCAGCGUGUACUCCUGGAUCGAAAGAUUUGGGUAACCCGCGAAUCUCCUUCGUGCUAGGGAUUGAGGUUUGCAAUUAUCCUUCAUGAACGAGGAAUUCCCAGUAAGUGCAAGUCAUAAGCUUGCGCUGACUACGUCCCUGCCCUUUGUACACACCGCCCGUCGCUACUACCGAUUGGAUGAUUUAGUGAGGACUUCGGACUGGGACCGAUGCGGCUUUCGGGCUGCGUCGGUAUUCUGGAAAGAUGUCCAAACUGUAUCAUUUAGAGGAAGUAAAAGUCGUANCA
rnacentral:rRNA from 1 species